AAACUUUGAAAUGGAUUUACCACCAGAAUUGUUUCUGAUUUUUCAUUGACACCUUGAGGGGGACCCUCAAUCCUGAAGCCACCUUUAAAGCCAGUCUUUUGACUCCAGCGCGCGUGCGCCUCCAGGUGCCGUCUUCAUCAUCAGAGAGAUAUUUUAGUGCUUUUGAUAACGUCAUAGGGCAUCUAUGACAAAAACUAAACAAAUACCCUUCUCUAAUCUUUUACACUUCAUCUUGCAUGCACAGUCGCGUUGUGAUUUUACCAGCAUUUCAUCGUCAGAUGAAGAGAAAAGAAGACGACCGAAGCGGUGUAAGACCUAUCUGGACCCUACCUCAGAUAAUUUUGGGGUGCCUUCCAGAAGGACUUUACUUCGAAUGGAAGACUACCACCCACCCGCUACCUGGACCAUCAAAUGUCAGGUCACCAUCACCUGUAUCUCCUGGCCACUCAGCAUCUGGACAUGCUGCACACCAUGAGAGAUUGCAGCCGUCUUCACCCUUCGUAUCUUACGAGUUUUCGUGCAGUAUGCAACCAAGAGUGUCUUUUAAGUCAUUUUCGAACACAUGAAUACACCACACAAAGUGAGCUGCACAUGGAUGUGGUCAAGGAAUGUCUACCUUACUAUAGUGGAUGGAACAGGAUAGUCAAUUUAAACUCGAACAGGAUCAACUAUCACGUCCCGCCCACCAUCUUCAUCUACAACAAGAGCCACAUAGAAACAAGUACUUUUCUAAGCAAAUUUUUUUAUUAUUUUAUUAAGAUAAAUACAGUGGCAGACGGACCGGGGCUGCUAUCCAGCGGCCUGGGCUCGUUCGUUUGAAAACGAAACUCAGUUAUUGUCAGUUCCAGUUCUUUGGUUUUGCAUGUGUUAGCCCCAAUCUAGUAGCUAUAAACCAAGAUAAUUCGUCGUUCAAUCUUACGUUAAUGCAUGAAGUUGAAGAUUUAAGGGUGGUAGGAUUUCCAAAGAUUGGCGCAGACGUAGAAUUCGAACACGUUCGUAGAGAAAUACAUUUUGAAAGGUCCGCAAAAGCUAGUCAACGUCGGCUCACAUCAAACAAACAUUUAUGAUUGUGGGUUAUUUCCCAUUUACUUUAUGAUACAAGCCGCCAAAAAUGGGACGUUUCCCGUUAUUAAUGAUCAAACGCCUCUCUCCUUACGCAUCAACGUGGGCUGGGCACUUUUAAAUCAAAACUUAGAUUUAUUGUGAAGAGCUCAAACUUUCCUCUGCUACGUUUUUACUUGUACUUUUCAUCUUUUCACUGUUGCUAAAUUAGUUGUGUGUUUAAUCUUCCACAGCAAAACUUCAAAGUUGUUAAAAUUAAGAUUUCCAAAGAUUGGCGCAGACCGGCAGACGUAGAAUUUCGAAUUCGUCGAAUUUUGGCGCAGACGUCGAACUUUCUUCCCCGGGUCCAUUCAUCAUGCCGAUUGAUCGACUGAGAUCGUUUUUUUCUAUUUUCAUGAGAUCCUCAUUUAUAGGGACGGGUUUACGUGUUUCCCACCAACAUGCCGACUGCAGAAAAGGUAUGAGAGAUCUCUUCGUUUUUAUAGUGAUAGUCUAUGUUAAUGCUUGGUUUCAAGCACCUUUGCCCAUAACUAUUCUUUUAUAUUUGUCACCAGCACCAGGACGCCAAGGCACAUCGCAUCAUGCGCUACAUCGCUGUCACCAAGACUCCUAGCGUCUGUUGGUGACCACCUAAUAAUCACGCGACAUCAUGAUUUGCAGAUCAUGAAAACUCUUCUGGAGUACGAAUAGGUUGACUUUGACAUGGCAAGAGCAGCGCAGUUCAAGUUCAUAAAUCAUCUAUGGUACCUAACCCCUGAGUGCGCUGCUUUAUCAUUUUUCGACGAUAAAGUUUCAUAUGAAAUUCAACUCAAAAUGGUAGAUGCUUUAUCACGAUAAGGCACUAUGUAAAGAGAGACGUACUCACAAAUUUUAGUGAUAUUGAAAAUAAGAAAGUUUUUGAUUUUGUAUCUCCAGUGAUUUGAAGGCCAAAUAAAUGACUUUUCCGAGGGUGUAAAAUCAUAGCUGUAAACUUUACGUGGAAGUACCCAAAAAGUUGUCCAUGAGUACCAAAUAUUAAACCUAGGCGCAUUAUAUCAUAUAAAAAAGCAGCACCAAAUCACAAAAAAAUGCGAUUUGACAAAGAUCGUAAAUUCGGGAUUCCAAUACUUAAUUCAGAUGUGAUUCAGUUGCAAAUUAGCAACGAACAUGAAAUAUAUUUUAAACAACUGAGAGAAAAAAAUAUUUGUCAUUGGCUCUUCUGUUUACACUGGUGAUAGCGAAGUCAAGACAAAAUGUGUACCCCACCGUGUGUGUAAUUUUGAAAAUUUAUCGAACAACACCGGUUACAAAUGGCACCACACACUGGAAGCGAGUCAAGCUCUCAGUUUUUAUAUUAAAGUUUUGCAAUUGAGCUGAAAGAGUGCCUCCUCGGAUAUCUGACGUCACUGCGGAGCUCUAAUUUUGAACGCUACAUAAAAUCUAAAAAAAAAUGCCUCAUGGAUUUUAGUUUUAAUCAUUAAAAUUAUGCUAGAAGAUGGCUUCCGAUUCAUUAGCGAGAUAUGAUGAAUUUAAAGGGACUGCAUCCCUCAAUGUACGCUGAAUUUUUUAAACGGAAAAUUCACACCUAGUAUUUCCGGGAGAAAAAUGCAAGAAGACGGCUACCGAUUCAUUUGCGAGGUAUGGUGAAUUUAAAGGGACUGCAUCCCUCGAUGUACCCUGAAUUUUUUAAACGGAAAAUUCACAGCUAGUAUCUCCGGGAGAAAAAUGCUAGAAGAUGGCUACUGAUUCAUUUGCGAGGUAUGGUGAAUUUAAAGGGACUGCAUCCCUCAAUGUACGCUGAAUUUUCAAACGGAAAAUUCACAGCUAAUAUUUCCAGGAGAAAAUUUUCCGCUACGGUCUUAGAUCAGGCCCAUGAACAAUGUAAUUCCAAGAUCUAAUGUAAUGGAUGCGCUGUCGGUUUGACAGAGAAUCCUGACGAGUUUAUGACGAUGGAUGGACCAGAGGUUUCAAGAGUUAUGCAGGAGUUUAAAAUAUAUUUCAGAUAGCUUUCCAAAAGCACGGACGCGGACUAAGAUCAUCACGAAUCCUCGGCUGAAUUUCAGUUGUUAUUUUUCAAACACGUUCAAGCUUUGAUGAAAACCAUCGACGAUGCCGGUAAUCCAUCAAGAACUUCAGAACUUGCAAAAUAAACUGAUAAUUUCUGAUACAGGAAUUGCAGAAUUAGAAGCUUGCAAGACUACGGAAGGAGUGCAUUUGAGGAUUUCGUUAGAGUCAGACUGGUUGAAGGAACGAAUUCAAUUUUUUUACCGCUGAAAAACCCUGAUGUUAAUUUGUUCCGGCCAAAAUCUAAAGUGAAAAAUAAAUCUCAACUGUCCAUGAAUAGUAUCAAGAGUG
rnacentral:lncRNA from 1 species